rnacentral:lncRNA from 1 species
UUCAGGUUCAAGCAUUAUUGCAUUCACAUGUGAACAACAUAUCUUCGAGUUCAGAAUGUAUUUUGCAACUCUUGCCCAAGAAUUUCGCAUGGAGUUGGAGGUCAACUUGAUACUCCUCGAGCAACAGAUCAAUCCGAAACUCUAUUAUUGCACCAGAUGAUGAUACGUUUUGCACUUUUGCAGAGCUGUCUUUGACAAGUCUACCAAUUGAUGCCGAAGCUGCCACGUCUGUUUCUUUAGUAGACAAAACGUUGCCCCCGAUUUUGGGUUGCAGAGGAAAAUUGUUUGUACCAGAUUCAUGACGUUGGACUAAAUAUCGUGCAUCAAAUAUGCAUGCAUGGUUAAAUUGUCCACGACAGUGCACGAUUCAUGAUUCAAAACCACGACAGCGCACGAUUCAUGGUUAAAUUUUCAGUUUGUGUUCAGUCGGUCUUGCAUAUCUGGAUAACAUUGUAACUAUCUAAAAGAUAGACGAUAUGAUAGGCUCAAUCCUUUUACUAAAAGAUUACUAAGAGGACUGUGUUGAAGUCGAUUGCAAUUCAACAACAAACCAACAGUAAUGAAUAAAAGGAUUAAAAUUAGAUUAUAGCUGGAGUUUAAGAAUUACUACCCACUUUGGAUUGGAUAUAAUUGGAAAUUCAAGAAUUUGCUCUCUGCCAAACAUGAAACAGGUUAGGACUACAGACAGAAGAAAAUGUAAAGAAGAAUAAUAUAUUGAAUUGCUAGCCAGGUAGAAUCCCUUAUAAUGAUUCCAACUAAAAACUAGGGUUCAGUAUGUCAGGCAAAGUAACAGAAAUAAACAAGAAAGCCAAAAGCCAAAUUCUAGCAAGUAAUGAAAGGUUAAAAAACAUUACCACUUCAGAAAACAAUUGACAAUGACCUGAGACAUAGGCUCUCUACUCUUACGUUCAACAGACCUGCCAACAGUCGUAAUCUCCUUAAUCAAAGGACCAUGAAGCUUCAUUGAUCUUAAUGCUUCAGCUUCAUGUCCGUUUCUAAAGGAAGUGCUUUCGCUUGUGAUUGAAGAUCAUAUUUGCUGAUAAAGAAACAAUCCUGCAUUCCAGAUUAUACUUUUCGAUAUCAGAGAGCCAUAUAAUAAUUGUACAACAAUAAAGCAAUAGUAGUAAUUCUAAAAUUUUCACUUCCUACGAACACAAUUUGAGUUAUGCAUCACAUAUUGAAGUUUCACUAGCACACCUUUUUAUGGAAAGCAUCACGUUGAAGAGCUACCAAAAUUGAAAAGAAUAAUCAGCCAGUAUGCAUGAGCAUGUGGCUGAGAGGUUCAUGAGAGCAAUUACAUUAUAGCUAUAAAUUUAGCAAAGCACAGUAGUGUGUUUAUUACCAUAGAAUUUUGCAGUGCUUGUUUACUGUAUUAAUGAUUAGUCAAAACCAAUUUGGCCAAAUUCUCAUUGAGUUCAUUAUUCAAAAGAUAUAGCUGAUUGUGGAUCUACUUGGGAGUGUAGAGGAAAAUUCUUCAAGAGGAUAUACUCAAAGAUUAAACACACUAAGACCUUCUAUGGCAUAUUGGUCUGUGUGAAAACUGGUGAAGAUUCACAACUGUGAUUACCUACUAACAUUCAAUUCAAAAUCACUAGGUGCAAAUGUUAGAUUACGCACAGC